rnacentral:rRNA from 1 species
UCUGGUUGAUCCUGCCUGAACUGAUGUGUUCAUUUCAAAGAUUAAGCCAUGCAUGUAUAAGUUUAAUCGUUUUAACGAGAAACCGCGAACGGCUCAUUACAAUGGCCAUGAUUUACUUGAUCUUGAUUAUCUAAAUGGAUAACUGUGGAAAAGCUAGAGCUAAUACAUGCACCAAAGCUUUGUCCUCUCGGAAAAGCGCAUUUAUUAGAAUAAAACCACGCGGCUUCGGCUGCUUCUUGUUGACUCAGAAUAACUAAGCUGACCGCAUGGCCUUGUGCCGGCGGCGUGUCUUUCAAGCGUCCACUUUAUCAACUUGACGGGAGCAUAAUCGACUCCCGUGGUGGUGACGGAUAACGGAGGAUCAGGGUUCGACUCCGGAGAAGGGGCCUGAGAAAUGGCCACUACGUCUAAGGAUGGCAGCAGGCGCGCAAAUUACCCACUCUCGGCUCGAGGAGGUAGUGACGAGAAAUAACGAGAUCGUUCUCUUUGAGGCCGGUCAUCGGAAUGGGUACAAUUUAAACCCUUUAACGAGUAUCAAGCAGAGGGCAAGUCUGGUGCCAGCAGCCGCGGUAAUUCCAGCUCUGCUAAUACAUAGAAUUAUUGCUGCGGUUAAAAAGCUCGUAGUUGGAUUCGUAUCGGUACCCUGGAACCCUCCGGGUGUUUCUGGGUGUUAUCGAUUUAUCGUAAUGUUCGGUUUUGAGUCCUUAACAGGAUUCUUAACAGGCAUUGCAAGUUUACUUUGAACAAAUCAGAGUGCUUCAAACAGGCGUUUUCGCUUGAAUGAUCGUGCAUGGAAUAAUAGAAAACGAUUUCGGUUCAGUUUUAUUGGUUUUACGGACUGAGAUAAUGGUUAACAGAGACAAACGGGGGCAUUUGUAUGGCCCCGUGAGAGGUGAAAUUCUUGGACCGUGGCCAGACAAACUACAGCGAAAGCAUUUGCCAAGAAUGUCUUCAUUAAUCAAGAACGAAAGUCAGAGGUUCGAAGGCGAUCAGAUACCGCCCUAGUUCUGACCGUAAACGAUGCCAACUAGCGAUCCGCCGAUGGAAAUUAUAUUGCCUUGGUGGGGAGCUUCCCGGAAACGAAAGUCUUCCGGUUCCGGGGGAAGUAUGGUUGCAAAGCUGAAACUUAAAGGAAUUGACGGAAGGGCACCACCAGGAGUGGAGCCUGCGGCUUAAUUUGACUCAACACGGGGAAACUCACCCGGCCCGGACACUGUGAGGAUUGACAGAUUGAUAGCUUUUUCAUGAUUCAGUGGAUGGUGGUGCAUGGCCGUUCUUAGUUCGUGGAGUGAUUUGUCUGGUUUAUUCCGAUAACGAGCGAGACUCUAACCUACUAAAUAGCUGGUACAUAAUUUAAGUGUAUACAGCUUCUGUAAUAACUUCGUAUAGCAUUUAUUCAUACGAAGUUAUUACGUUUUUAACCAGUCGAGAGCCCCG